rnacentral:rRNA from 1 species
ACGACCAUAUCAGUUUGGAAUCAUCGGUUUUCCUUCGAUCACCGAAGACAAACAAAAUCACACCCGGUUAGUAACUGCAUGAAUGAUGGACUAGGGAUACCGGAUGUGGCGCCCGUC